rnacentral:misc_RNA from 1 species
UGUGGGAGCGGGCUUGCUCGCGAAUGCGGUGUGUCAGUUACACAUGAGCUGACUGACCCACCGCAUUCGCGAGCAAGCCCGCUCCCACA